CAAGUAUAUAAAGUACAUGUAUGUAAAAAUAAAAUAUUCUUCCAGUCAUAUUUGUGACUCCAUUGCAAUCUCUCUUGAAUGAUAAUUAUGCAUAAUCUCACAAAAAUCUUUCAACUUAUUUGAAUGUCUUUAGAUCCACUAUGUUGUAGCAUCACACUUUCGUGCAAAAAAAAAAAAAAAUUGAAUUUUCUGUUUCUAAUCUGAAUGAUCAUUUUCCAGUGGAUAGUAUAUCUAAUGGCAUCAAAAAGAUUAAGGAAGAUAAGUGGGAUUCAUGGCAGUGUCUUAAGGCAAAUGCACUUUCGAAGGAACAGCAAGAAGCUUUGUUCCAUAGAGUGUUUAAAUUCAAUAGAAAUUUGUGAGAUUCCUCCUCAUCAAUUGGAUUUAAAAUGUGAAAUGAUUAUAAUGCGACCAAGCAGUAAAUCACCAAUAAAUUGAUUAUAAAACAGCUCUAAAUUAAUUAUUGAGAAAAUGAUUGGCAUGAGAUCAGUCAGUGUAUGUCAAACAGGAGAUUAUGCUAUAAUUCCCAGAGUUACUCUAAAUUCAAGUAAUCGUGAGUUUCCAUUUGAAUGCCAAAAAAGUUUCCAGUGAAAUCAGCAUUUGGAAUCACAAUACUGUAAUUAAGAAUUAAUGCCAAACUUUGGAUUCAAUUAAAGAUUGUAUAUAUAUACAGUAUAUAUAUACAGGGUGUUUCCAAAGUCCACCGACAGGCUUCCAGGC
rnacentral:lncRNA from 1 species